rnacentral:rRNA from 2 species
GCGGCGUGCCUAAUACAUGCAAGUCGAACGAACUCUGGUAUUGAUUGGUGCUUGCAUCAUGAUUUACAUUUGAGUGAGUGGCGAACUGGUGAGUAACACGUGGGAAACCUGCCCAGAAGCGGGGGAUAACACCUGGAAACAGAUGCUAAUACCGCAUAACAACUUGGACCGCAUGGUCCGAGCUUGAAAGAUGGCUUCGGCUAUCACUUUUGGAUGGUCCCGCGGCGUAUUAGCUAGAUGGUGGGGUAACGGCUCACCAUGGCAAUGAUACGUAGCCGACCUGAGAGGGUAAUCGGCCACAUUGGGACUGAGACACGGCCCAAACUCCUACGGGAGGCAGCAGUAGGGAAUCUUCCACAAUGGACGAAAGUCUGAUGGAGCAACGCCGCGUGAGUGAAGAAGGGUUUCGGCUCGUAAAACUCUGUUGUUAAAGAAGAACAUAUCUGAGAGUAACUGUUCAGGUAUUGACGGUAUUUAACCAGAAAGCCACGGCUAACUACGUGCCAGCAGCCGCGGUAAUACGUAGGUGGCAAGCGUUGUCCGGAUUUAUUGGGCGUAAAGCGAGCGCAGGCGGUUUUUUAAGUCUGAUGUGAAAGCCUUCGGCUCAACCGAAGAAGUGCAUCGGAAACUGGGAAACUUGAGUGCAGAAGAGGACAGUGGAACUCCAUGUGUAGCGGUGAAAUGCGUAGAUAUAUGGAAGAACACCAGUGGCGAAGGCGGCUGUCUGGUCUGUAACUGACGCUGAGGCUCGAAAGUAUGGGUAGCAAACAGGAUUAGAUACCCUGGUAGUCCAUACCGUAAACGAUGAAUGCUAAGUGUUGGAGGGUUUCCGCCCUUCAGUGCUGCAGCUAACGCAUUAAGCAUUCCGCCUGGGGAGUACGGCCGCAAGGCUGAAACUCAAAGGAAUUGACGGGGGCCCGCACAAGCGGUGGAGCAUGUGGUUUAAUUCGAAGCUACGCGAAGAACCUUACCAGGUCUUGACAUACUAUGCAAAUCUAAGAGAUUAGACGUUCCCUUCGGGGACAUGGAUACAGGUGGUGCAUGGUUGUCGUCAGCUCGUGUCGUGAGAUGUUGGGUUAAGUCCCGCAACGAGCGCAACCCUUAUUAUCAGUUGCCAGCAUUAAGUUGGGCACUCUGGUGAGACUGCCGGUGACAAACCGGAGGAAGGUGGGGAUGACGUCAAAUCAUCAUGCCCCUUAUGACCUGGGCUACACACGUGCUACAAUGGAUGGUACAACGAGUUGCGAACUCGCGAGAGUAAGCUAAUCUCUUAAAGCCAUUCUCAGUUCGGAUUGUAGGCUGCAACUCGCCUACAUGAAGUCGGAAUCGCUAGUAAUCGCGGAUCAGCAUGCCGCGGUGAAUACGUUCCCGGGCCUUGUACACACCGCCCGUCACACCAUGAGAGUUUGUAACACCCAAAGUCGGUGGGGUAACCUUUUAGGAACCAGCCGC